AUUUUUAGCCAGGCCAAAUAAAGAGGUAUCUCAUCUUACCACUAACGUGUCCUGGUGAUUCUGUAGGUCCCUACUAUGUAUGGAUAUGCACUGCAGAGAAAUCUUACUGACUUGGAUGGAAUGAUCUAUAUAUUAUCCCCUAAUGAUUCCAGGUUGAGGUGGCAAGAAGGUAAAACAUUGAACUACUUCCCGCAGCUGGUGAUGAACAUAUACAACAGACAGCAAUGACAAGAUGGAUAAGUAUCAGGUGAAAUGCCUGUACAGGAGGUAUUGUGAAAUACAAUACUCCCUAGGCAUUGAGACUAGUCUAAAGGGCCUUAAAAGUCUUUUCCAGUGUUGUACGUUCCUAUAUUCUCCUAUUAAUUCUAAUUAUAGACAAAUUUGAAAAAGUUCCUGAUAAAAAGAUUAAUAAGGGGUAGUGAUGGAGAGAAGUUUGAGGGGGACUGAGGGUGAUGAAGAGGUGCAACAACAAAUGAAUCAGAGAACUGAAUGAAAGGAGGUGGAUGUGAAAGUUGUGACCUUGAUGCAGACCUCCCCUAAUUGUCCAGGAGGCUCUUCUAUAGGCCACCCGGACCUGCUGAAUUGUCAUCUGAAGGCAGGAUCUACCAAUGAAUGCCUAAUCACACUUGUCUCACAUGCCCGCUAUCGGCCUUUUAAAUUUAAAUUUUAAAUGCAUUGGCACUGACUCCUGACACACAAGUAGAAGUGGCACCCACUUUGGUUGCGCUGUUGGGACCCUCGCGCCUCUUAUUAAAUUCCGCCCACAGUUUUUACUUAUGGUGGUUCUCUUUUCUUCACUGGAAGCCAGCUCUGUCAGGUGCUUGACUUUAUUUGUUCUGCUGGUAGCAGAUUCUACACAGACAAUUUAGUUCCAUUCAAGUGUUUUGUCAAAGCACAAAGUUUUACAAUCAACAUGUUUAAGUUUAUCUUGACUCCUGUGCACUCAAUAAAGUUACCAGGGUUCCUAUUACACACCAUAUGUACAGCUCUGCAUUCCUUACUGAAAUAGAUGAAGGAUUGUCUAUGUGCCCUUUGCCAGAUUCACAGAGAUGAAAGUAACAGUUGUUCGGAACUUGCUAAUAGCUUUGCCUUCUGAUUUUUCAUUGCCUUUCCUUAUACCAAUAUACAGUCCAACAUCACCAUUGCUUCAACAGAAAGAAUAGAAUUACUAUCUGUUACAUUGCUGAAUAAACUCUAAAGAACUGAAUUUGUCAAAGAUAUGCUAUCAUUCUCAAAACUAGAUGUUACUAUUACGCUAAGUUGAAUUCAACUUGUUAUUAUACUGUAAUUCAGAACUUAGGUUCUGUAUUUUAAGUUGAACCCAGUGAUGCUGUAGAUUUGAAACCAACUUAUUGUUCCAUUUUAAGACUACAUUCAUAAUAUUAUUGUUUGUGCAGAUGUAGUGAAAUAAAAUAGUUGUGAGUUAUACAUCAA